rnacentral:rRNA from 1 species
GUGUCAGCCGCCGCGGUAAUACGUACCGUCCAAACGUUAUUCGGAAUUACUGGGCUUAAAGGGUACGUAGGCGGCGCUGUCAGUCGGGUGUGAAAGCCCUCGGCUCAACCGAGGAAUUGCGCCCGAUACUGCAGUGCUUGAGGGAGACAGAGGUAAGCGGAACUGAUGGUGGAGCGGUGAAAUGCGUUGAUAUCAUCAGGAACACCAGUGGCGAAAGCGGCUUACUGGGUCUCUUCUGACGCUGAGGUACGAAAGCUAGGGGAGCGAAGGGGAUUAGAAACCCCUGUAGUCC